AUUGAACGCUGGCGGCAGGCCUAACACAUGCAAGUCGAGCGGAUGACGGGAGCUUGCUCCUUGAUUCAGCGGCGGACGGGUGAGUAAUGCCUAGGAAUCUGCCUGGUAGUGGGGGGCAACGUUUCGAAAGGAACGCUAAUACCGCAUACGUCCUACGGGAGAAAGCAGGGGACCUUCGGGCCUUGCGCUAUCGGAUGAGCCUAGGUCGGAUUAGCUAGUUGGUGGGGUAAUGGCUCACCAAGGCGACGAUCCGUAACUGGUCUGAGAGGAUGAUCAGUCACACUGGAACUGAGACACGGUCCAGACUCCUACGGGAGGCAGCAGUGGGGAAUAUUGGACAAUGGGCGAAAGCCUGAUCCAGCCAUGCCGCGUGUGUGAAGAAGGUCUUCGGAUUGUAAAGCACUUUAAGUUGGGAGGAAGGGCAGUAAGUUAAUACCUUGCUGUUUUGACGUUACCGACAGAAUAAGCACCGGCUAACUCUGUGCCAGCAGCCGCAGUAA
rnacentral:rRNA from 1 species